rnacentral:rRNA from 1 species
UACGGAGGGUGCAAGCGUUAUCCGGAAUCACUGGGUUUAAAGGGUGCGUAGGCGGCUAGAUAAGUCAGAGGUGAAAGCUCACCGCUUAACGGUGGAACUGCCUUUGAUACUGUUUAGCUAGAAUUAGGUUGAGGUUAGCGGAAUGAGUCAUGUAGCGGUGAAAUGCAUAGAUAUGACUUAGAACACCAAUUGCGAAGGCAGCUGGCUAGACCUUAAUUGACGCUGAGGCACGAAAGCGUGGGGAGCGAACAGG